rnacentral:rRNA from 1 species
CACCGCGGUUAUACGAGAGGCCCAAGUUGAUAGCCAUCGGCGUAAAGAGUGGUUAAUAAACAUAAAUACUAAGGCCGAACAUCUUCAGAGCUGUUAUACGUAAUUGAAGACAGGAAGACCCUCCACGAAAGUGGCUUUAAAAUAUAUGACCCCACGAAAGCUAGGACC